rnacentral:rRNA from 3 species
UACGUGAAACCGUUCAGGGGUAAACCUGAGAAACCCGAAAGAUCGAAGGGGGAGAUUCAUCGUCAAAGACGUUUCGUGUCCGUCGGCUGCGAUGUCCGGGGCUUCGGCCUCGGUUCACGCUGUCGUUUUGCGGAUUUCGUUGGUCGUCGGCGUGCACUUCUCCCCUAGUAGAACGUCGCGACCCGUUGGGUGUUUGCCAAAGGCCUUGGGCUGGUCGACUGCCGUGCCGUCGUAAGACGCUCGCGCUGCAGACCACCGUUGUUGGGCCCGGCAAACCGCUCGGCGGUAUAACCUGUGUAAAUCGAGGUAUGGAGCCGCAGUAAAUGCGUCCAGGCACGUCUGCAGGUGAGACUAGAUUCGGAAUUCGGACCAAGCGCCGGGUACUGGGUCUGUUUCGCUUUGCGCCGACGUUGUCCUCGGACUGGCUCUUUUACAUUCGAACGGAUGUACCGGUCGGCGACGCUACUGCUUUGGGUCCUUUCAGGACCCGUCUUGAAACACGGACCAAGGAGUCUAACAUGUGCGCGAGUCAUUGGGACUUAAAAACCUAAAGGCGCAAUGAAAGUGAAGGUCGACCUUGCGUCGAUCGAGGGAGGAUGGUUCUUGUUACGAUAAGAACUCGCACUCCCGGGGCGUCUCUAACUCAUUACGAGUCGAGGCGCACCCAGAGCGUACACGUUGGUACCCGAAAGAUGGUGAACUAUGCCUGGUCAGGACGAAGUCAGGGGAAACCCUGAUGGAGGUCCGUAGCGAUUCUGACGUGCAAAUCGAUCGUCGGAACUGGGUAUAGGGGCGAAAGACUAAUCGAACCAUC